UGGGGAAUAUUGCACAAUGGAGGGAACUCUGAUGCAGCAACGCCGCGUGCGGGAUGACGGCCUUCGGGUUGUAAACCGCUUUCAGCCAUGACGAAGCUUUUGUGACGGUAGUGGUAGAAGAAGCACCGGCUAACUACGUGCCAGCAGCCGCGGUGAUACGUAGGGUGCGAGCGUUGUCCGGAAUUAUUGGGCGUAAAGAGCUUGUAGGCGGUUUGUCGCGUCGAUAGUAUAAACACGCAGCUUAACUGUGUGCCUGCUGUCGUUACGGGCUGACUAGAGGAGGGUAGGGGAGAAUGGAAUUCCGGGUGGAGCGGUGGAAUGCGCAGAUAUCGGGAGGAACACCAGUGGCGAAGGCGGUUCUCUGGACAUUUCCUGACGCUGAGAAGCGAAAGCGUGGGUAGCAAACAGG
rnacentral:rRNA from 1 species